AAAAACCCUAAGGGUUCCUCCGGCAGGCUCGUCCGCGGAGGGUUAGUCAGGACCUAAGGCGAGGCCGAAAGGCGUAGUCGAUGGACAACAGGUCAACAUUCCUGUACCUGUGAUGUUUUGGGAAGGGGGACGGAGAAGGCUAGCCAAGCCAGAUGUUGGUUACUGGUCCAAGCGUUCGAGGCGUUGAGAACCGGCGAAAACGGUUUGAGCUGAGGCGUGAGUGCGAGCUGCUACGGCAGCGAAGUUGGUGACGUCAAGCUUCCAAGAAAAGCCCUAUACCCGUUAAGGCAUCAUGGCCUGUACCCGAAACCGACACAGGUGGGGUGGUAGAGAAUACCGAGGGGCGCGAGGUAACUCUCUCUAAGGAACCCGGCAAAAUGGCCCCGUAACUUCGGGAGAAGGGGUGCCACCGCAAGGUGGUCGCAGUGAAGAGGCCCAGGCGACUGUUUACCAAAAACACAGGUCUCCGCUAAGUCGCAAGACGAUGUAUGGGGGCUGACGCCUGCCCAGUGCCGGAAGGUUAAGGAAGCUGGUCAGCGCAAGCGAAGCUGGCGACUGAAGCCCCGGUGAACGGCGGCCGUAACGAUAACGGUCCUAAGGUAGCGAAAUUCCUUGUCGGGUAAGUUCCGACCCGCACGAAAGGCGUAACGAUCUGGGCGCUGUCUCGGAGAGAGGCUCGGCGAAAUAGAAUUGUCUGUGAAGAUGCGGACUACGUGCACCCGGACAGAAAGACCCUAUGAAGCUUUACUGUAGCUUGGUAUUGUGCCCGGGCUCUGAAUGCGCAGGAUAGGUGGGAGGCUUUGAUCAUCGGCUUGCGGGUCGAUGUGAGCCAACGGUGAGAUACCACUCUUUCAGAGCUAGGGUUCUAACAGUCACCCGUUAUUCGGGGACUGGACAGUAUCAGGUGGGCAGUUUGACUGGGGCGGUCGCCUCCUAAAAGGUAACGGAGGCGCGCAAAGGUCUGCUCAGGCUGGUUGGAAAUCAGCCGACGAGUGUAAAAGCAGAAGCAGGCUUGACCGUGAGACCUACAAGUCGAACAGGGAGGAAACUCGGCUUUAGUGAUCCGACGGUUCUGCGUGGAAGGGCCGUCGCUCAACGGAUAAAAGUUACUCUAGGAUAACAGGCUGAUCUCCCCCAAGAGUUCACAUCGACGGGGAGGUUUGGCACCUCGAUGUCGGCUCAUCGCAACCUGGGGCUGAAGUCGGUCCCAAGGGUUGGGCUGUUCGCCCAUUAAAGCGGUACGCGAGCUGGGUUCAGAACGUCGUGAGACAGUUCGGUCCAUAUCCGGUGCAUGCGCAGGAAUAUUGAGAGGAGUUCUCCCUAGUACGAGAGGACCGGGAGGAACGCACCUCUGGUGUACCAGUUAUCGUGCCAACGGUAAACGCUGGGUAGCCAUGUGCGGAGAGGAUAACCGCUGAAAGCAUCUAAGUGGGAAGCCCACCUCAAGAUGAGUAUUCCCAUGGCGUUAGCCAGUAAGGUCACGGGAAGAACACCCGUUGAUAGGCUCUAUGUGGAAGCGCAGUAAUGCGUGAAGCAGAGGAGUACUAAUAGACCGAGGGCUUGACCGA
rnacentral:rRNA from 1 species